ACAUAAAAAAAAAAAAAAAAAAAAAAGAACCAUUGCAAUAAAGAUAAAAUACCGAAAAUGAAAUUGAAAUAUGCAUCCCACCUGUUCAGUGAAACAGUUGGUAAAACCAUGGCGUACUUAGCUGAGAAUGGAAAACUACCUGAAGAUACGAAGGAUACAGCCGACUUAAUUUUUGUGGAUAAUUUGUUCGAUUUUCUCAAUGAAAGUUUUAAAAAUUCAAAGGCCAGAAGUGGCAAAGAAUUGUUAAGAAGUGUAACACAAAAAUCUUUGCACAAAAAUGUGUGGGCAUAAUCAAAGAUAAUAUUAUCGAAAAAAUCUAUCUGCCAGUGGCUCUACUGGUACUGUGCUAUCAAUAAAUAACUGGUUACAAAUUUAAAACAAAUUACAAAUUUAAAUAUCUUGGCUGCACUGUAACUGAUACGAAUACACGUGACGAAGAAAUACAGAUCCGUAUACAAAACACCUUGAGGUGCAGUGCAGCCCUGCACAAGGUCUUGGAGUCCAAGCUUCUUAGUAGGAAGAGAACAAUCACAAUUUACAAAACCAGUAUUCAUCCAAUACUGAUGUACGGUUGUGAGGCUUGGACACUUACGCUCAGAGAGGAGAAUAGGCUUCUGGUUACGGAAAGGAAAAUUGACCGUAAGAUCCUUGGACCAAUUAAAGGGCAAGACGGCAGCUGGCGAAUAAAAACCAAUGCUGAAAUUGCAAACCUGGUGUCUGAGCCAAACAUCAUUGGAGUUACUAAAUCCCAUCGGUUGCGGUGGCUCGGACAUGUUGAACGCAUGGGGGAGGAUCGAGCAGUUAAGGGAGCGUAUCUGGGACGACCAACUGGACGUAGACCGGUGGGUCGCCCCAGAUACCGCUGGAGGGACCUGGUUGAAGCAGACUUGAGUGAGAUCCAAGCCAAUAAUU